AUUGAACGCUGGCGGCAGGCCUAACACAUGCAAGUCGAGCGCGCGUCGCGCGGGUGUGUAAUGUCUGGGAAACUCCCUGAUGUGGGGGGAUAACUCCUGGAAACGGUAUCUCAUACCGCAUACCCUCUGAUGUGCCCAGAUGGGGUUAGCUCGUGGGGGGGGUAACGGCUCACCUAGGCGACGAUCCCUAGCUGGUCUGAGAGGAUGACCAGCCACACUGGAACUGAGACACGGUCCAGCCUCCUACGGGAGGCAGCAGUGGAGAAUAUUGCACAAUGGGCGCAAGCCUGAUGCAGCCAUGCCGCGUGUGUGAAGAAGGCCUUCGGGUUGUAAAGUACUUUCAGCGAGGAGGCGUUACCCGCAGAAGAAGCACCGGCUAACUCCGUGCCAGCAGCCGCGGUAAUUC
rnacentral:rRNA from 1 species